GGGUGCGAUCAUACCAGCAAUAAUGCACCGGAUCCCAUCAGAACUCCGAAGUUAAGCUUGCUUUGGCGAGAGCAGUACUAGGAUGGGUGACCUCCUGGGAAGUCCUCGUGUUGCACCCUC
rnacentral:rRNA from 1 species